UACGUAGGGCGCAAGCGUUGUCCGGAAUCAUUGGGCGUAAAGAGCUCGUAGGCGGCCUGUUGCGUCCGCUGUGAAAUCCCGGGGCUUAACCCCGGGCGUGCAGUGGAUACGGCUGGCUGGAGGCAGGCAGGGGAGAACGGAAUUCCGGUGUAGCGGUGAAAUGCGCAGAUAUCGGGAGGAACACCGGUGGCGAAGGCAGCUGCUGGCAUGUAUCUGACGCUAAGGCACGAAAGCGUGGGGAGCGAACAGG
rnacentral:rRNA from 1 species